GAGGUGUCCUUGGCAACUCCUCCAGACCAUCAUCCCCGCAGGGCAGAGUCUCGGCAGAGGUGUCCUUGGCAACUCCUCCAGACCAUCAUCCCCGCAGGGCAGAGUCUCGGCAGAGGUGUCCUUGGCAACUCCUCCAGACCAUCAUCCCCUCAGGGCAGAGUCUCGGCAGAGGUGUCCUUGGCAACUCCUCCAGACCAUCAUCCCCUCAGGGCAGAGUCUCGGCAGAGGUGUGCUUGGCAACUCCUCCAGACCAUCAUCCCCUCAGGGCAGAGUCUCGGCAGAGGUGUGCUUGGCAACUCCUCCAGACCAUCAUCCCCUCAGGCAGACUCAGGCCCAGAACAGCCCCUGGACAGUCAGUGCCCCUUCCCUGUGGGGCUGCUCCCUAUUCAGAACAGAGUGGAAAGGCAACAUCCACUCCUCACACCUUCAUCACCUGCAAUGCUGGCUAAGGCUAGGGUUUUCCAUUCCAGCCCCGCUUGGCCCUUCCAUGCUGAGUUUGUGAUGGGAGGGACAGCAAGGUAUCUGGUUAGCUUCAGGUUUGCCUUUUUACAGAGAGUCAGGGGUUAAUUGCUGAUAUCUCUGUGU